CCUCUUCUUUUGUCGCUGGUCCAAGCGAGUCGCGUGAAGACGGUGCGGGUCUGCCCCCACGCCGACUCGCUCCUCCAUCGCCUCCGAUCGCUCUCUUAGCUUCAUCCGUUUCUCUUCUUUGUCGAAUUAGGUAAUUCCCGCACUUUCUGGUUCUUAAUUUUGUCUGCAUUAGAAUUUUUUGAGCUCAUUUCUUCCUCAUUUUCGCGUUUGAUUUGACUGAUUGACUUACGAUUCUUAUCCUUUAUGAGGUUUUUCUUGAGCUAAAAACAUGGCUUUGUGGUCU
rnacentral:lncRNA from 1 species